rnacentral:rRNA from 1 species
UACGAAGGGGGCUAGCGUUGCUCGGAAUCACUGGGCGUAAAGCGCACGUAGGCGGAUUCUUAAGUCAGGGGUGAAAUCCUGGAGCUCAACUCCAGAACUGCCUUUGAUACUGGGAGUCUCGAGUCCGGGAGAGGUGAGUGGAACUGCGAGUGUAGAGGUGAAAUUCGUAGAUAUUAGGAAGAACACCAGUGGCGAAGGCGGCUCACUGGCCCGGUACUGACGCUGAGGUGCGAAAGCGUGGGGAGCAAACAGGGAUAGAAAC